rnacentral:rRNA from 1 species
UACGUAGGGUGCAAGCGUUAUCCGGAAUCACUGGGCGUAAAGCGUCUGUAGGUGGUUCGAAAAGUCCACUGUUAAAAAUUGAAGCUUAACUUCAAAGAUGCCGUGGAAACUUUCAAACUAGAGUGUGGUAGGGGUAGAGGGAAUUUCCAGUGGAGCGGUGAAAUGCGUAGAUAUUGGAAAGACCACCGAUGGCGAAGGCACUCUACUGGGCCAUUACUGACACUGAGAGACGAAAGCUAGGGGAGCAAAUGGG